UCCAUAUGUUGUUUAAGUGGUCAC
rnacentral:miRNA from 1 species